rnacentral:rRNA from 1 species
AUACGGAGGUUGCAAACGUUGUUCGGAAUUACUGGGCGUAAAGCGCGCGUAGGCGGUUUGUUAAGUCAGAUGUGAAAGUCCACAGCUCAACUGUGGAAGUGCAUUUGAAACUGGCAGACUUGAGUACUGGAGGGGGUGGUGGAAUUCCCGGUGUAGAGGUGAAAUUCGUAGAUAUCGGGAGGAAUACCGGUGGAGAAGGCGACCACCUGGCCAGAUACUGACGCUGAGGUGCGAAAGCGUGGGGAGCAAACAGGAUUAGAAACCCUAGUAGUCC